GAAAACCAAAAAAAAAAAAAAGAGUCAACAGUCGGAAGUGCCACAUGGACUGAAACCAUCUGAUGAAAGAACAAUGUCAGACUGUGGAGAUUUGAACCCAAUGCCCCUAUAGACUCAAGAACACUGAAUGCUUCCUCCUCAGCUGGUGGCAAUUUGGGAAGUGGAGCCUUGGUGGAAGAAUAGGUGUCACGCCAGCCCAAGAUAACAUGGAAUUCACUAUGUAGUCUCAAGCUGGC